AGCUGAGAGUUACUCGUGACUGUUGGCGCACGCCAUUUCCUCAAGUGUGCGGUCAGGUUUUGAGCAAUAUUCGCCUCGCGCGCCAUCGGCGCCGAAUAUCCAACAUGUUGAAUAAAAUGGUGCACGAGUGAACAUUGGCUCCAAGUGUGCGCGCGUGCUGAGCUAUUAUCUCAACACGUGAAGAAAAUGCGCAUGCGUUCUUCCCUCAAUCAUGUCAACAUGGCCUCUGGUAGUGUCGUUGUAGCAGGAGCUUUGUUGGAAGAUCAUUUGGCUGACAUUUGGCCAGAUUUUCCCUGUCUUUAUGACGUGCGAUGUCCCGAGUUUAAAAAUCGGGAUUUACGUGAAAAUGCGUACGAAGAAAUCGCUGUAAAACUCGGAAAAACAGUUGAGUGGGUAAAGUCAAAAAUCUGAUCACUGCGAAAUAGUUUCGUAAAGGCGAAAAAACCUCCACCUAGUGGCAGUGCUAGAAAAAAUCCAUCUCGUCGAACCAUUUGGAUAUUAAAGAAGUUACAAUUUCUAGCACCUCAUGUUGCAACACGGACUUCAAUUUCGAAUAUUGACUCUGAAUCCGUUGGCACUCCUCAAGACACAAGUUUCACCCAAGAUGAUGAUGAUGAUUACAACAAUGAUUUAAAUAUUAAUGAAAGUGAAAAUGAAAUGGAAUAUCAUGAAGUGGAUGGUGCAGCAGCAAGGUCUACGAGUCAGCCUAUACGAAGGCCAACUACUUCAAGGAAGAGACAGGCUGAAGAAGAAUUUAAUUUGAUUAAAAGUUUGUCAAAUUCAAUAGCC